rnacentral:lncRNA from 1 species
UGGUAGACUUCUGUUGAUAAAAACGGUGAUUGCGGGAAUCACCAACUUCCGGUGCUCAUCGUUUGUCUUGCCAAAGGCCUGCAUCAAAAGAAUCAACUCCUUAUGUAGCAUGUUCCUGUGGAAAGGCAACAUAGAAGGUCACAAUAGUGCUAGAGUUUCUUGGGAAAGUGUAACUCGUAAGAAGGAGCAUGGAGGUUUAGGGAUCAUUGACUUACUAACUUGGAACAAAGCAACCUGUCUUAAGCUGGUUUGGAUGCUUUUCUUCAGAGCGGGAUCAGUGUGGGUGGCAUGGUUUCGGGAUGAAAUUCUACAAGGUGAUAUCAGUAAUUAUUGGACCAUAAAACCUAGCAGG